rnacentral:lncRNA from 1 species
GCAUUAAAUGAUAGGUAAAAACUAAAACUUUUAAUAACUGUUUCUUCUAUAUUUGUAGAUCCUGCUGUUUCUCUACAUAAAAAUCUAAUAUAAGCUGAUUUAGCACAAAAUAUGUGAGGCUUUUUCAUUUGAUUCUAAGACCAUACCUUUUAUAACUUAUACAUUUUCCUUUAUUAUAUAUUGAGGUUCUCUGAUCAGUCCAAUAACCUCAUUGUCU